AACUGUACAGUACGUGCAAUGGUUGUGAAUAAGAAGGUAAAGCCAACGUGCCCAUAUACAGAUGCCGACUAUAAAGUACAAUAAACCUGUAAUGCAAGUUUUUCUUAUAGUAUGGGAAACAGACAAGAUUGAAUAAAUCAUGGCUAGGAGCAAGAGAAGGCCAACAUCAUAGAGUGCAACUAUGUCAAUGUGUCUGGACCUAGAAUCUGUAAAAUGAGAUUCAGAAAUAUAAACCACCGAUUCAUUGUCUUCCAUCACGGUGAUCGGUCGGAUCGGGUGUGUCCAGAUAUCUGUGACUAAAGCAUCAAACCAAGUUAGAGAAUUACAUGCAUCUGAAACACAAGCAUAUUCAGCUUCAGUAGAUGAACAAGAAACAAAAUUCUGUUUACGUACUUGCCAAUAAACAGGACAUCCAUUUAAGAACA